rnacentral:rRNA from 1 species
AAUCGAAGCAGUGAACUUAAGCCCCAGUAAACGGCGGCCGUAACUAUAACGGUCCUAAGGUAGCGAAAUUCCUUGUCGGGUAAGUUCCGACCCGCACGAAAGGCGUAACGAUUUGGGCACUGUCUCAACAACAGACUCGGUGAAAUUGUAAUUCCGGUGAAGAUGCCGGAUACCUGCGACAGGACGGAAAGACCCCAUGGAGCUUUACUGUAGCUUGACAUUGGGUCUUGGUACUACAUGUACAGGAUAGGUGGGAGGCUUUGAAACCAGGACGCCAGUUUUGGCGGAGCCAUCCUUGGGAUACCACCCUUGUAGUACUGGGACUCUAACCAUAGGCCAUGAAUCUGGUCUUGGGACACUGUCAGGUGGGCAGUUUGACUGGGGCGGUCGCCUCCCAAAAGGUAACGGAGGCGCUCAAAGGUUCUCUCAGUACGGUCGGAAAUCGUACGUAGAGUGUAAAGGCAAAAGAGAGCUUGAUUGCAAGACAUACAGGUCGAGCAAGGAUGAAAAUCGGACUUAGUGAUCCGGUGGUUCUGCGUGGAAGGGCCAUCGCUCAACGGAUAAAAG